UACGUAGGGUGCAAGCGUUAAUCGGAAUUACUGGGCGUAAAGCGUGCGCAGGCGGUUAUGUAAGACAGUUGUGAAAUCCCCGGGCUCAACCUGGGAACUGCAUCUGUGACUGCAUAGCUAGAGUACGGUAGAGGGGGAUGGAAUUCCGCGUGUAGCAGUGAAAUGCGUAGAUAUGCGGAGGAACACCGAUGGCGAAGGCAAUCCCCUGGACCUGUACUGACGCUCAUGCGAC
rnacentral:rRNA from 1 species